rnacentral:lncRNA from 1 species
CUGUUGUCAUUUUCAUCAUCUGCAUCAUAUUCAACGCACUUGCUGGACCGGGAACUGGUAUGUGCAGAAGAUAAAUAUAAUACUGUUUCCAGUAUGAAUUAGGUGCUAAAUUACAUUUUGGUUAAAUAUAUCGCUACAAUUUUAUUUUUUCCUAUUUGCAGGUCCUUUUCGGAACAACACUGGAGCGAUAUCAGAUAAAUACAAUACAGAAAUCACUCCCUCGGGAUGGACCUUCUCAAUCUGGGGUGUCAUCUACACUUGGCUGUCACUCAUGCAUGUUUACAUCCUCACCACUACCUGCAGGAGGUAAGAACUCAGUGAGCUAGAAUCAAAUGGUAAUCAAAAAAUAAAGUGGCAUGAAAUGUGAUUUUGUAAUAAUAACAUGCUGCAGUUAAUGAGACGAUUAUGUAUAUUGUGCUCACAGGACUGUUUAUGGUCCAAUGUACUGCAGUCCUGCUGUGUUGCCAUAUGGAUUCUUCAUAACCUGGAUUGUAAACAUGCUGCUAAAUAUAAUCUGGCUUCUUCUGUGGGACAGACAGGUGAUGAUUGCUGCAUUCAUUAUCCUUGCCUUGAUUGCCUUCACAAACUAUUUGCUGAUAAUCUUCUCCUGUCAUGGACUCAAACAAUAUGGAGCCUGGUUAAACAAAUAUCACAAAGUAGACCUCUGGUGCAUACGGAUAUUGGUUCAGAAUGGCAUUGCAACAUACACAACAUGGACAACAAUUGCCACUCCCUUGAGUGGAAACAUGACCAAGAACUUUAAAUCUGCAGAUCCAAGCCGCAGCGGCAUUUACAUAGCUGUUUUACUGGGGUUGACUUGUACACUAUUUGCGAUCAAAGUGUUGCUGGUUAUAUGGAGGCACAUUAAACAUCCUCUCUACAAAGGCAUGAAUGUAGAGGAGGCGAUAUCACCAAUGGAAAUUGCUGAAA